CCAGCGGGAACGGCGCGUUAGCGGACUCUCCUGGGGCAAAGCGUGACGUGGGACUUUAGGGUCCCGGAUGUUUCAGGUGUGAGCCUCUGCGUUAGCAGACAGUCUGACCUGGGUGCUGAGCUGACGACAACCAGGAGUCGAGUCAUCUCAUCCAGGGAACAUUCUUCCUCGGUGUAUUCGGCAGAGCUCUGAACACGCGUCGCCUCCCGCGCAAGGGUCGCCACGAUCUCUCGGGAAAAGUGCUCCCUGGAUCCUGCAGCCCCACGGCACGGACGCAGGACCUAUUUCCCUCCUGUCAGCGGCCAGGAGGAGCUCACUCCAUCACACGUGCUCCUUCACCCCAGAAACACUAAGAAAGUCCCGAGGGAACGUUUUCGAACACGGGGCAGUGAGGGGAGGACCUGAGAACCCCGACUUCCGGGCUGGAUGUCUGGAGCUCUGUUGAAGGAUGCAAGGUCCACCGUGUGCAAGCAGGACCCCCCCCCCAACCCCCAAUGGGACUGGACAGGCCCCGCAGAUGGGUUUUAGCUCUGAGUUAGGCAAAUGGCCACAAGCAGCCUCACCUUCCCAUGGAGGAAUGAGCCACAAAAUAAACGCAGACAGAAACCAGAGGGAGCUGGAGAGGACCAGUGGACAGCACAGGAGGUAACUUUAUUGAAACGCAGAGGGCAUCGGAACAGUCGGAUCUUGCAAGGAGGAGACGCCUGGGGGGGUCAGAGGGCCCAGAUCAGGGGGUGCCUCGCCUGGCCCUGGCAGGGAUUUAAUUUUCAACCAAUUGGUUAGUUAGAACGAAUGCCCGAGGGGACAGUCUGGCCCCCUUCACGAUUGUUGCCGCAGCUAUGCACACCGCUUCGCUUUCCAGGUUCUCGCUGAUUCCUCUGUACUAGAUAUAAAAGGAGCAGAGUGAAAGAGGGGGGGUCGAAUGGGAAAAAAAAUAAACACGCAGACACACACAUGGCGUGGUUUGGGGUUUUCUGCCCAAUAAAUUAAGAAAGAAAAGUUGCAAAAAUUCCUGCCCGCCAUCCGGAGAAACAGACCCUACCACAUAAACAGUGCUGCCCCAAGCAGGAGUGGGGCGGGGAGGCCCCUGGCAGGGGCUGGAAUUCACUUUCGAAAGAUUGUUCUGUUAAAAAAACAAAAGCCAUUUGGAAGUGGGAGGCCACUGCAGAGCAGAAGCCGAGACUGGCGGGGACACGGGGCUCCUGCCUGGUUGCCCCACGUGUCGGUCUCAGAGAAGCGGCAGGAAAGCGGAAGAUCCACAGGCGAUGCCCAAGGACCAGCAUCGGCCCCCUGGGGGCCGUGGGUGAUGUGGAUGCAGUGGCUGUCCACGCCUUCCUCUAGGGCCAGGCUCCCAAGCCCAGGAGGCCAGUCCUCACACGUUUGUCCUCUACCCACCGGCUCCCUCACAGGGAACAGUGACAGACUUAAUCCAGAACCAGUUGUGAGCAGCCUUUCAACUAGUCUGUGAGUUUGGAAAGAUACAAAGUUCCUUUAUUAAAGGAUUUUAUUCUGUC